GAACCACGCGUCUGUAAUCGAGUGGUUAAGGGUUCCGUGGAUUUUCAAAAAAUCUGAAUUCGAAUCCGCGUGUGUGGCUACCAGAAUUUUUCACAUUCUUUUUCCGGAGAAUUAGUUUACCAUUUUUUUUAUAUACUGAAUAUAUAGACAGGUGUAAAUAUGGUAAAAGUCAAAAUAAUUUUGUACGGUCUUCUUGUCCGUCAAUGAUCGUCAUAAUAUAUCUUUUGAAACCAAGUGAAUACGUAUUUGACUUCCGACCGUAGUCGGCAGGAAUGCUUGACAAUCUUAAAAGAUAAAGUAAAAGUUUCGACAUUCGUUAAUCAUUUUGGUAAACAUUUAUGCGAAAGGCACUUCACCAUUAUUUAACCAGAAACUUACCUAUUUGGCAAUUUUUUAUUUUUUUCGUUCAAAAACGAAACUUACCUAUUUGGCAAGAAUUGUACCUCUGAUAUAUAUUAUAUCCACCUAAAAUAUCUAACUAUUAACUCUUGUUAAUUGUUAUGCUUAUAUUUGCAAUAGUUUGUAGUAUUGCAGGAAAAAGUAUCUGCAUAUUUAAAAUAGUAAACUAUAUGUUACCCACAAUAAAUUAAAAAAAUAUUGUGAAGUCUUGUACGUAGAAUUUUACCCAAAAAAAAAAUCUUGUACGUAGUUUGCAAAUGUGAAUAGGGUCGGAUAUUUUGAAUCUCGCUUCAAUGAUAUUCAGUAAUAUGCGCUAAAUAGAUAUAAUACCGACCGAGGAAAGGCAUUAUGCAUGUACUGGUAAGAUCAGCAAGUGUUAUUCUUUUCAUAGGGUUUAAUCGAAUUUCAUUUUUCAAAUGAUAUAUACAGCUUUUUGGGCCACUGAAAAUUUCAUUAAAUUAUUGUUAAUAUAUUGAUAUAUAUUCACUUAAAGUCCGGGAUAGUCUGAUCAGAGGCGUGCCUACAGUGUAUUGAAAAAGGCAUUCGUCUCAGGCCCCGAUUAAUAUGACUGUUUUUAGGGUCCCAAAAUUUAAAAUAAUUUCUAGUCUAGUGGUUUAGACUUAUUUAAAAAAAAGUAUUUCUACGAAAAUUAAUUAACUCAUUUUGUGAAUUCUUGUAUUUUUUCUAUAUGACAUAAUAUAACAUAUUUACGUUAUAAACUUAUUCUUUUUCAAUAUUAGACUUGUGUAUUUGAUGAAAAUAAUAUAUCAUAUUAGAAAAUUAUUUUCAUUACGUUGUAAAUAAGUUUAUUUUUAGAACUCGCCUUAGGCCCCUAAAAUUCUUCGCACGGCACUGAGUCUGAUAGCACGUAGUAUUAUACAAUCUACAUUAUAGAUGCAUCUAUAAAUUUUUCGACAAAAGCAUUUAUAAUGCAUUUCAUGAAUUAGUUUUCCUUCAUUUCUGUGAAUCAAAGGACCUGAAAAAUAAAGACAAACAAACGAUACGGGAUAAUAAAUCACAUAUGGACUAUCGAGUACAAAUAUUACUAUAAGAUAAUACUUUCCCAACAAGAAAGAAAUUUAAUACUAAAGAACUUUCAGAAGUGAAAUUAUUACGAAAAAGAAUAUGCAAAAUAAUUACGAAAGUGAUUACUUAAUAAUAUAUAUACAUAUAUUUGUUAGAAUAUGCAAAGGAACUAAUUCACGUUCAACGGAGAGAAGGUGACGUGUGUUUCCUUUGAACCCAAGUUCCUUAAACUCUUAUCUUCUGUCUAUAAAUAACACUUUCUCUUCACCUUCUUCUAUCCUCAUUCCCAUCUUCUUAGCUUCACUUUGCCCUCUAAUAUCUUUAAUGUUUAACAACAGAAAAAGAAAGUACAGAAGAAUCUGUAAAGCUCAGGAGGGAUAGCGCCAUCAUCAUCAUCUCAUUCAAAUUGAUAUUUUGGCGCUGUCCAUCCUGAGUUUCAUUGGCUCUUCUUACUACAAUGCUUUAGAGAGACAGCUAAAUUUCAUAAUCAAGCUUAGGGUCUCAAAGAAAUUAACAUAAGAGUAUCUUAUUUCCUUUCUUUUUUGUUUUAUAAAAGAAAAUUAGUCUCUAAAACAAAUCAUGAAGAGAAAAGAAAAGAUCUCUUCUUUGGCCUCUUUAUCCGGUGAAACUCAGCCACCGACGUGUAGUGUUGUUACUACCGUUUUGGUAAGAAUAAAACUUUGAUUAGUGUCGAGCCAAACUUUCUAAACCAAUCAUUCUGCAAAAGGGUGAAAUCCUAUCGUUUAUAUACAAAUAUUCUUACCUUUUUUUUGACAAAAACAAAUAGUCUUAUAUUUUCUAGCCACAGCUGCAAUAUCAUAAAUAUUUUUUUUUCUCUUUUUCUUUUAGAUUUAUUAGGUUUUACUUUAGUGCCUGUGGUUGGGGCCAGGCUAAGUAAGUGAGGAACAUAUAUGCUCUGCUGCAUGAACCACGUGGACUAACAUGCAUAUACGCAGUUACAUUUAUCUUCCUCAUAGGUUUCCCUUUCAGUCUUUUCACUAUAUUUUAAAUUUAUAUUAUCAUGUUGAACAAACCUAGUUGAAACUGAAUAUUUAUUCUCUAUAUGAACAAAGUCUACACUUCUCUCGCUUAAAACUAGCUUGUGAACUAUUUAGUUUGUCUUGUGAGUCCAGUGACUUUUUGCUACCAAACGUUGGGUAACCACAUGUACAGUUAGAUGUAAAUUACUAUAUUAUACAGUCUGAAAGAGUUCAUUAACUAAUGGAACCUUUGAUAAAAUAAAAACGUUUCCAAGUACCACAAAAGAACCAUGCAUUAUCAUAUAUAGUUAUGGAUGAACAGCAGACAGUCAGACAGAGAGAGUCUCUAUUUUCGGUAGCGUUUUUACUCUGAAAAAAAAAAAACAAAUCUGUGAAAUGUUUCUACUAUUUUCUUCCUAUCAGGUUUUCUUUUUUGAGUGUUAAAAAAAAGGCUUGAUAGGAAGAAAAUAUGCAUGAAGAUAUUAUAGAAAUUAAGAACGAAUUAACUUUUAAAAAAUCAAACUAAAUCAUUUACUAAACUUACUGACAGAAUCAUCAAAUUCAUUCAUUAUUGUAAAAUGUGUGCACACGAUAGAGCUUAGACACAACUGAAACUAAACCAAAUCUGAUAAGCAACAUGGAACCGGUUUUAUAACCUCUGAUACUAAUACGUUAUUUUCUUUUUAUAAACGUCUGACAAACGAGUAAUGUCAUAACAAAAUUCUUCAAGUAAAGGUAAUCAAUGAUAUUACAGAUUUUAUUUUAUAAAACAAACGAAGGAGAAAUAGAUCCUGGUAUAUAAUUACCUCCACACCUUACAUUAUUGAUAAAGUUGAAUAAGAGAUAAAUAUUUUUUAAGAUGGGGUCUGAAUUAAAUAAAGAGUUAUUGUGCAUUUAAUUAGGUAUUAUUUGUUGUGCAAGAAAGUCCAAUGAUUAUAAUGUUAACAAGGUCUUAUGUUAACAAAUAAAAAGCUUUUAACUAUUUUGAAUUUUUGUCACUAAUGAAACAAUUUCAUUCAAACAUGUUGAAAUUAUUAUAAUUAAUACAUAAAAUAAAUGAUAAAUUAUUGUGGUAAAUACAAUUAAUGAAAUACUUUGAAUGAAUAAAAAAUAUAUAUGUAAAAAUGUAAUAAAAUAUUUAAAAUAUGUAAGUUUGUUUUGUACUUUUGUAAUAAAUUAUUUUAAAUUAGUUGAAAAAUUAAUAAAUGAAAUGGUUAAAAUUAAUUAAAAAUGAGAAAAAAUGUAAAAUCAUUUACAAAUAGGUAAAUAUUGUUUUGUAUCUAGUUAUAAUAGAAUAUAUAUGUAAUAUAUAUAUGUAAUAUGAUGUUGCCAUAUUGGUAUAGAUUUUUUGCUGUAUACGUUCAUAAUCAGGCAUUGGAAGAGUAAAUGAACUCAAAAGAUAGGUCUUGUUCUGCACAUUUUACUGGGACCGCAAGUCAUGUAAAGCUGCUCUGCUGAUGCUGCACGGCGUCGCAAUCUCUAUUAUUAUUUAUUUCUUUUAACGAACGCUGCUAACAUUUGCCCAAUUCACGAUGAGAAAUAAAAGGUGGCUUCAAUUCGCUGCCUUACUCGUGUACGUCCACUAUGAUGAUUCCUGUAUUUUUUUUACUAAGCUACUGUAUUUUUUUUAUAAUAAAGUCCUCUAUGAUUUUAUAAGGCAUACAAUCAAAUUCAACUCUGCUAAAUGGUACAAACGUGGCUGAUAUUUAUAUUAUUAAUAUGUAUAUAUUCUUAUAAGAUACUAUUAUAUUUCGUGAAAAUGCAUUCCGAGGAGAUUCCAGAUACAUAUUCAAAAUUUGAUUUUGUUAAUAGGUUGUGACUACAUGAACACUUAUUAGGAUUGUUUCCCCCACUUAGAGCAUCUAAAAACACACUUUAUUUUGAAGUUUUAAAUACAUGAAAGCUUAUUACGGUUUUUACAUUUGUCAUAAUUAAUUUAAAUUCAUAAGAAAUUAAAUAACUAGCACAUAUAUAAAAUAAUUAUAACAAUAUUAAUUAAUAAAAUAUUACAUUCAAAUAUAAAAUUUUAAAUAUAAAUAGAUGAUUAAUAUUAAACCUCAUGCAAAAUAUAAUAUUAUUCCAUAAAAUUAUUUUCGUAAUACACAUAUGAUCAAUUAGUGUAUUUCGAAGUAAAAAAUGACUUUCUCUUGUUUUUUAAUUUAAGGAUUACGAGUUAAAAAUUAUUGAAAUCAGAUGAUAUUAAUACUUUUGAACAAGAAAGUAAAAGUGAAAAAUUAAAAUAUUGCUAAAAACUUAACUUUUAUCUAUGAUAUUUAUACUCGUGAAUACAUUCGAUAUGAACAUGAAAGAAUUGUACAAAAAUACAUCAAAAAAAACAACAACAACCAUCUUCGAUUACACAAAACUUGUUUGGAUGAUAUUUUGGAGAUUUUAGAAGUUCCACAUCAAAUUUACCUGACUAUUUGUGUUGUAUAUUAAAUUUUUGUAAUAGUUAUGUCUUCGUGUAACUUUCUAAAGCUUUUUUUCUUAAAUUUCCUUUGUGUAUUGUUAUUGUCUAAAUCUAGUAUUAAAAUAUUUAAAUCUUAUUUUAAAGUGUUAUUUAAUUUAUGUGUAAAAUUUAAAUUUAUAAAAAAUGAAAUGUUUAUGAGAUAUAAAAAUUUGAAGGAUUAAAAUGAUAAACGAGAAGGUAUUUAAGAAUCAUAAAUGUAAUGUGUAAUUAGAAACCAAAAUGCAAACAAAAAUAUGAAACUUCAAAUUCGAAAUUUUGAGUAAUGAAACUUCAAAUAUCUAUAUAUAUAAAGGAGAGUUUUCUCUCACCUUAGCCCUCCACCUCAUCACAUUACAUAGGGCAUUUUGUGACACUUGUCACUUCCUGAUUAAGAAAUUAAUAUCAUCUAUUUAUUUUGUGGGCUAACAAAUCUGUUUUAUUUAUCUAGGCUUUCUGAUUUUAUUUGAUCCAUUAGCUCAAUAAACAAGUUUCUUUAUGGUCACAAUGUAAUGAUUUAGGCCGUCUUAACAUGUUUAUUUGUUGUACUUCUUUACUGGACUUAUCACACUAACGUAGCGUCGUAGCCAGUUAAUAUGAAUUCUCAGUUUUUUUCUAACUGCAGUUGGCAAAGAAAACAUGAACUAAUCAUUGCGUCUUACUCUUCCAACAGAUUCUUUGAAGCGGGAAACAAACAUAGGAGGUUAGCAGCCACAUUACUACCCAGGCUACUUUCAUUGUAACUAAAAGUUUACGCACAAAACAAAAUAAACUGAUUUGUUCCUGUUCAACCUGCAACAUCCAUUGUUGCACCCAGUCAACAAAUAAGAGGCCACCCCUUAAACCAUUUAAACUUCAUUACAAAUCCAUUCAUAAUAUUUAUUUUUCAAGUUUCAUCAAACCAAGAUCAACUAAAAAACAAAAGAGUGAAUUUAACAUUUUUUCUCUUUUAAUUGCUAAAUUCAUGUUAACUAAAAUUAACAAGAUAUUGAUGAAAAACCAUAACCCAAAAAUAGAAAAAAAAACAAUAGGAUGAGAAUAAAAUAUAAAAAUAAAACAAAAUAAAACUGAUUCUUAAAAAUGUUAUCUCAUUAAUUCCAAAAGGCCUUGAACAUAAAUCUAAUAUUGAUAUUAAAAUAAAAAUUGUUUAAUGACAUUGUCCAAACGGAAGACACAAUACAAAAUAAUAUUAAAAAUGCAUAAGAACAAUAAUAACAAUAUAUGACUUAAAAUAAAAUCUGUAGAUGUAAAAAUCUACACCGCCAAAAGAAAAACAUAUCAUACUCCAGUAAAACAAUCUUAACAAUCAUAUAAAAAUAGCAAUAACGGAAAUAAUGAUUCACACCUAAUAUAUUAUGAAAUGAUUCGAAAUAAAAACAAAUGUUAAACAAAAUACUUAAUGAACCCCUCCCCAGCGCUCCGACUUACCAACUACGAUUUGCAAAAUACCAAAAACGCACACCUUA